rnacentral:rRNA from 1 species
ACUUGACUUUAGAUAGCAAUAUCGAAAAGUAGGGUGGCGCACGGGUGCGUAACGCGUAGGUAAUCUGCCCUGAGGUCUGACAUAACCCGUCGAAAGGCGGGCUAACAUCAGAUGAUAUAUAAUCACGACAUCGUGGAAAUAUCAAAUCUUCGGAGCCUUGGGAUGAGCCUGCGUCUGAUUAGGUAGUUGGCGGAGUAAUAGCCCACCAAGCCUACGAUCAGUAGCUGGUCUGAGAGGAUGAUCAGCCACACUGGAACUGAGACACGGUCCAGACUCCUACGGGAGGCAGCAGUAAGGAAUAUUGCUCAAUGGGGGAAACCCUGAAGCAGCAACGCCGCGUGAAGGAUGAAAUACUUUUGUAUGUAAACUUCUGUAAGAUGGGAAAAAUAUUCUCCUCGGGAGAAUUGAUUGUACCAUCAGAGUAAGCCCCGGCUAACUACGUGCCAGCAGCCGCGGUAAUACGUAGGGGGCAAGCGUUGUCCGGAUUCACUGGGUGUAAAGGGUGCUCAGGCGGACUUGUAAGUCAGAGGUGAAACUCCGAAGCUUAACUUCGGAACUGCCUUUGAUACUGCAAGUCUCGAGUACGGGAGAGGGUAAUGGAAUAACAGGUGUAGCAGUGAAAUGCGUAGAUAUCUGUUAGAACACCAAUGGCGAAGGCAGUUGCCUGGCCCGUUACUGACGCUAAAGCACGAAAGUGUGGGUAGCAAACAGGAUUAGAUACCCUGGUAGUCCACACCCUAAACGAUGAGAACUAGUUGUUGGUCCUUUUAAGGAUCAGUGACUUAGCUAACGCAUUAAGUUCUCCACCUGGGAAGUACGAUCGCAAGGUUGAAACUCAAAUGAAUUGACGG